UGGGGAAUAUUGCACAAUGGAGGAAACUCUGAUGCAGCGACGCCGCGUGAGUGAAGAAGUAUUUCGGUAUGUAAAGCUCUAUCAGCAGGGAAGAUAAUGACGGUACCUGACUAAGAAGCACCGGCUAAAUACGUGCCACGCAGCCGCGGUAAUACGUAUGGCGCAAGCGUUAUCCGGAUUUACUGGGUGUAAAGGGAGCGUAGGUGGCUGUGCAAGUCAGAAGUGAAAGCCCGGGGCUUAACCCCGGGACUGCUUUUGAAACUGUACAGCUGGAGUGCAGGAGAGGUAAGUGGAAUUCCUAGUGUAGCGGUGAAAUGCGUAGAUAUUAGGAGGAACACCGGUGGCGAAGGCGGCUUACUGGACUGUAACUGACACUGAGGCUCGAAAGCGUGGGGAGCAAACAGGAUUAGAUACCCU
rnacentral:rRNA from 1 species